rnacentral:rRNA from 1 species
UACGAAGGGGGCUAGCGUUGUUCGGAAUUACUGGGCGUAAAGCGCACGUAGGCGGAUUGUUAAGUCGGGGGUGAAAUCCUGGAGCUCAACUCCAGAACUGCCUUCGAUACUGGCGAUCUCGAGUCCGGGAGAGGUGAGUGGAACUGCGAGUGUAGAGGUGAAAUUCGUAGAUAUUCGCAAGAACACCAGUGGCGAAGGCGGCUCACUGGCCCGGUACUGACGCUGAGGUGCGAAAGCGUGGGGAGCAAACGGG